CUGUCCACGGAGUUCACAGUCGCCAUCUUCUCCCACGCGCGUCUUCUUCCUGCUUUGACCGGCGUCUUCUGGCGCAUGCGCAGUAGGAACAGUUACCGGUACGGAUCUGCGCAGAGGGGAGGCGUGGUGGGACAUCUUUAUGGUUGGCUUUAGUGUCAUUUUAACAGCUGUAACUUAACCAGGAAAAUAAUUGCAGGGGAAGAUAGAUGGAGUUACUGAAAGAGACGUGAUGAAGCAGCAGCAGGUACUACUGUGAAUGGAAAGAAAGGCGUCAGUUCAAACAGAAGAGCCAAUACAAUAAGUGAGUCUGCCUCACAGCCGCUGAAAGAGAUCCUGGAAAGGCAGAAAUCUGUCCCUAUCAGCCUGUAACUGCUAAUGAUCUAAUAUCUGGAGUAGGGACUGCAUUGGCUUACAUAUCUUGUGGGAACUCUUUGGACAAAUUCAUAGAUGCCACAAGAUAGUGAUAGCUCCCAAUGGUGCCUCUUUCCACUGCAUAGUCCAGAAUUGUGCAGCCUGAAAUCUGGAGACAUGGCCUAAAUUCAUUCCUCAGUACGAAUUUUUGUGCACCUGGAAACUGUUUAGCGACCACUCCGACUCCACUCCGAGUGCAAAUUUUAACGUUUGCAAUAAUGCACAGUGUAUGUAAAGUUGUUACGUUUGCAGCAAAAGAUUACACCACCAACAAGCACAUCUGAAAAGUGCCCAAUGCACAAUUGAAAUUCACAUUUCAAUAAAAGUCUAAUGAAAAGA